AGAUUGAACGCUGGCGGAAUGCUUUACACAUGCAAGUCGAACGGCAGCACGGGGGCAACCCUGGUGGCGAGUGGCGAACGGGUGAGUAACACAUCGGAACGUGCCCAGUCGUGGGGGAUAACUACGCGAAAGCGUAGCUAAUACCGCAUACGAACUCUGGUUGAAAGCGGGGGGACUCGCAGGAGCCUCGCGCGAUUGGAGCGGCCGAUGGCAGAUUAGGUAGUUGGUGGGUAAAGGCUCACCAAGCCGACGAUCUGUAGCUGGUCUGAGAGGACGACCAGCCACACUGGGACUGAGACACGGCCCAGACUCCUACGGGAGGCAGCAGUGGGAAUUUUGGACAAUGGGCGCAAGCCUGAUCCAGCCAUUCCGCGUGCAGGAUGAAGGCCCUCGGUUGUAAACGUGUCUUUUGUACGGAACGAAAAGCG
rnacentral:rRNA from 1 species